rnacentral:ncRNA from 1 species
GUAGCGCAUGUUUAAUAAUUACGGCGUAAAAGCUCAUACCUUUUAAACGGGCGGUACGAAUGUAUUGCGCUGUCAUUACUUCGACCAUGGAUGCACGUGUCAUACGUGCGAUAUAUCCCAUUCCAUAAAGUGCCAUUGUCAUGACUGGUAAAGAAAAAUUGUAGAAAGU